rnacentral:rRNA from 2 species
AAGUCGAGCGAACAGAUAAGGAGCUUGCUCCUUUGACGUUAGCGGCGGACGGGUGAGUAACACGUGGGUAACCUACCUAUAAGACUGGGAUAACUUCGGGAAACCGGAGCUAAUACCGGAUAAUAUUUCGAACCGCAUGGUUCGAUAGUGAAAGAUGGUUUUGCUAUCACUUAUAGAUGGACCCGCGCCGUAUUAGCUAGUUGGUAAGGUAACGGCUUACCAAGGCGACGAUACGUAGCCGACCUGAGAGGGUGAUCGGCCACACUGGAACUGAGACACGGUCCAGACUCC